CUUGGCCUAGCCGCGAUCGAGCGCGCCAGGAAGCGCCAGCUCUCGCGCAUCACCUGGCUGCGGGCCAGCGAUGCCCGGAUGACAUUCUUCCAGGCCAAGAUCAAUUCCAGGAGGCAGAAAAACUUCAUCCACGCCAUUCACACGACGGACUCAAUCGUUACCUCCCAUGACGACAAGGCCAAGGCUAUCCACGACCACUUCAGCUCCUCCCUCGGGGCGGCGCCCGUCAGAGACACCACCAUUAACUGGAGCUCGAUCAACCUGCCAUCACUGUCGGCAGUCGGUCUAGAUAAUCCUUUCUCAAAGGAUGAGGUUUGGUAG
rnacentral:rRNA from 1 species